rnacentral:rRNA from 1 species
CGCGUAGGCGGCUUUAUAAGUCAGAUGUGAAAGCCCACGGCUUAACUGUGGAAGUGCAUUUGAAACUGUGAAGCUUGAGUAUCGGAGGGGAGUGUGGAAUUCCCGGUGUAGAGGUGAAAUUCGUAGAGAUCGGGAGGAACACCAGUGGCGAAGGCGGCCUCCUGGGUCGCACCUGACGCUCAGACGCGAAAGCUAGGGGAGCGAACG